CUUACUCAGAGCUUGAGCAUAGUCAUGGCCGCCCAUUACCACACAAGGAAGAAGAAGAAGAAACCCCAACAACAAAAACACAAUUCUCUCCAUACUCAAAAGCAGAUCUGUUCUCUAAAACUUGUGAUAAACUCCACAAAGAACAGAAAGAAAGGGAGAAAGAGAGAAAGAGGAGGCCGGGAUUGAGGGAAGAAGAUGGAGCUUGAGUUUACUAUAUAUGGUGGAGGGAGUAGGAUGGUGCCAAUACAGCAGAAUGGCAACUGAUCUAACAAAUUUCAAAAUCUUUUAAUAUUUUAUAUGGAUUAAAUAAAUUAUGAGGUGUCUAUAAGUGCCUUUUACACCAUGUACAUCUGUAUAUACUUUUGAGAUUAUACCUGGUACUGUAAAACUGGGAGCGGAUAAUACCAAUUACUAGGAUAGUAUCACAUUUAACGGCAAAA